CAGGAUGAACGCUAGCUACAGGCUUAACACAUGCAAGUCUAGGGGCAGCAUGGUCUUAGCUUGCUAAGGCCGAUGGCGACCGGCGCACGGGUGAGUAACACGUAUCCAACCUGCCGUCUACUCUUGGACAGCCUUCUGAAAGGAAGAUUAAUACAAGAUGGCAUCAUGAGUCCGCAUGUUCACAUGAUUAAAGGUAUUCCGGUAGACGAUGGGGAUGCGUUCCAUUAGAUAGUAGGCGGGGUAACGGCCCACCUAGUCUUCGAUGGAUAGGGGUUCUGAGAGGAAGGUCCCCCACAUUGGAACUGAGACACGGUCCAAACUCCUACGGGAGGCAGCAGUGAGGAAUAUUGGUCAAUGGGCGAGAGCCUGAACCAGCCAAGUAGCGUGAAGGAUGACUGCCCUAUGGGUUGUAAACUUCUUUUAUAAAGGAAUAAAGUCGGGUAUGGAUACCCGUUUGCAUGUACUUUAUGAAUAAGGAUCGGCUAACUCCGUGCCAGCAGCCGCGGCAAUACGGAGGAUCCGAGCGUUAUCCGGAUUUAUUGGGUUUAAAGGGAGCGUAGAUGGAUGUUUAAGUCAGUUGUGAAAGUUUGCGGCUCAACCGUAAAAUUGCAGUUGAUACUGGAUAUCUUGAGUGCAGUUGAGGCAGGCGGAAUUCGUGGUGUAGCGGUGAAAUGCUUAGAUAUCACGAAGAACUCCGAUUGCGAAGGCAGCCUGCUAAGCUGCAACUGACAUUGAGGCUCGAAAGUGUGGGUAUCAAACAGGAUUAGAUACCCUGGUAGUCCACACGGUAAACGAUGAAUACUCGCUGUUUGCGAUAUACUGCAAGCGGCCAAGCGAAAGCGUUACGUAUUCCACUUGGGGAGUACGCCGGCACCGGUGAAACUCAAAGGAAUUGACCGGGGGCCCGCUCAAGCGGAGGAACAUGUGGUUUAAUUCGUUGAUACGCGAGGAACCUUCCCCGGGCUUAAACUGCAGAUGAAUUACGGUGAAUGCCGUAAGCCGCAAGGCAUCUGUGAAGGUGCUGCAUGGUUGUCGUCAGCUCGUGCCGUGAGGUGUCGGCUUAAGUGCCAUCACGAGCGCAACCCUUGUUGUCAGUUACUAACAGGUUCCGCUGAGGAUUCUGACAAGACUGCCAUCGUAAGAUGUGAGGAAGGUGGGGAUGACGUCAAAUCAGCACGGCCCUUACGUCCGGGGCUACACACGUGUUACAAUGGGGGGUGCAGAGGGCCGCUACCACGCGAGUGGAUGCCACUCCCCACAACCUCUCUCAGUUCGGACUGGAGUCUGCAACCCGACUCCACGAAGCUGGAUUCGCUUGUAAUCGCGCAUCAGCCACGGCGCGGUGAAUACGUUCCCGGGCCUUGUACACACCGCCCGUCAAGCCAUGGGAGCCG
rnacentral:rRNA from 1 species